rnacentral:rRNA from 1 species
UACGUAGGGGGCAAGCGUUAUCCGGAUUUAUUGGGUUUAAAGGGUGCGCAGGCGGAUUUUUAAGUCAGCGGUCAAAUCGUGGGGCUCAACCCCAUCCAGCCGUUGAAACUGGGGAUCUAGAGUGUGCGAGAGGUAUGCGGAAUGCGCGGUGUAGCGGUGAAAAGCUUAGAUAUCGCGCAGAACUCCGAUUGCGAAGGCAGCAUGCCGGCUCCACACUGACGCUGAGGCACGAAAGCGUGGGUAUCGAACAGG